GACAUUUCAAUAUGAAAAUAUUUUCACAGAAUUUUUCUUUCAAUUUUUUUUUGUGUUCCAAUAAUGUGCAUAGCAUUUCACAAACAACAAAAAAUGUAAUGUGAUCAAAUUUAUCCUGAGUGUAACGAAAGUUUAGACGCAAAAACAAAUCUAACAAAAUAUCCACUCGUUUCGUGUGCUGGUUGUGAAAAUGUGUUAAAUUAAGAACAUAAACCAUAAACGUUUUUUUUUAAUCUCAUAAAUUGUCAAAGGCGUCAAAAUUGAUUUUCCUUGCUUUUCGUUAGCGUAUGGAAAAUUUAGUUGGGCUUUUUCGGCAGACAAUUGGUUGUUUUCCGUUUUGAAAAUAAUGCAUUUCAUUGUACAUUCUUCGAUGUAGUUUAUUCGGAAUAGAUCUGUGUUAUCAAGAAAGUAAAAUAUUAUAUAUGUUUUAGGCAGUAAGUGUUUCAAAAAUGUCUUCAGAACAUACAUUCUGUGGUACCUGGGAGAUAGCUGAAUGCUCCUUAAAUGCGAGACCCGGAAAUCACUGGACUGGAGGGGAUCAAAUUUCGCUUGGAUGAAAUGGGAGACAUAAUAUGGUAUAACGAUUUGAUUCAUUCAAACUUUGGUGACAUGGUCACCCCAUGAAUCAGCAGAAGCUUUGUUCAGCUGUGAAACGUACGAACUAAUCGAUGCCAUGGCUGAAGGUCCGGGAUUGUUGUUUGGAGCUUUUGCUGGACAUAAUAUAGAGUUUAAGACUGAUAACUAUACGCCAAGUAAUACAAUGUCAUUGUCAUGUGAAGGCUGGUAUA